rnacentral:rRNA from 1 species
GGGUUGUGAGGUUAAGCGACUAAGCGUACACGGUGGAUGCCCUGGCAGUCAGAGGCGAUGAAGGACGUGCUAAUCUGCGAUAAGCGUCGGUGAGGUGAUAUGAACCGUUAUAACCGGCGAUUUCCGAAUGGGGAAACCCAGUGUGUUUCGACACACUAUCAUUAACUGAAUCCAUAGGUUAAUGAGGCGAACCGGGGGAACUGAAACAUCUAAGUACCCCGAGGAAAAGAAAUCAACCGAGAUUCCCCCAGUAGCGGCGAGCGAACGGGGAGGAGCCCAGAGCCUGAAUCAGUGUGUGUGUUAGUGGAAGCGUCUGGAAAGGCGUGCGAUACAGGGUGACAGCCCCGUACACAAAAAUGCACAUAUUGUGAGCUCGAUGAGUAGGGCGGGACACGUGGUAUCCUGUCUGAAUGUGGGGGGACCAUCCUCCAAGGCUAAAUACUCCUGACUGACCGAUAGUGAACCAGUACCGUGAGGGAAAGGCGAAAAGAACCCCGGCGAGGGGAGUGAAAAAGAACCUGAAACCGUGUACGUACAAGCAGUGGGAGCCUCUUAAUGGGGUGACUGCGUACCUUUUGUAUAAUGGGUCAGCGACUUAUAUUCUGUAGCAAGGUUAACCGAAUAGGGGAGCCGAAGGGAAACCGAGUCUUAACUGGGCGUUAAGUUGCAGGGUAUAGACCCGAAACCCGGUGAUCUAGCCAUGGGCAGGUUGAAGGUUGGGUAACACUAACUGGAGGACCGAACCGACUAAUGUUGAAAAAUUAGCGGAUGACUUGUGGCUGGGGGUGAAAGGCCAAUCAAACCGGGAGAUAGCUGGUUCUCCCCGAAAGCUAUUUAGGUAGCGCCUCGUGAAUUCAUCUCCGGGGGUAGAGCACUGUUUCGGCAAGGGGGUCAUCCCGACUUACCAACCCGAUGCAAACUGCGAAUACCGGAGAAUGUUAUCACGGGAGACACACGGCGGGUGCUAACGUCCGUCGUGAAGAGGGAAACAACCCAGACCGCCAGCUAAGGUCCCAAAGUCAUGGUUAAGUGGGAAACGAUGUGGGAAGGCCCAGACAGCCAGGAUGUUGGCUUAGAAGCAGCCAUCAUUUAAAGAAAGCGUAAUAGCUCACUGGUCGAGUCGGCCUGCGCGGAAGAUGUAACGGGGCUAAACCAUGCACCGAAGCUGCGGCAGCGACACUAUGUGUUGUUGGGUAGGGGAGCGUUCUGUAAGCCUGUGAAGGUGGCCUGUGAGGGUUGCUGGAGGUAUCAGAAGUGCGAAUGCUGACAUAAGUAACGAUAAAGCGGGUGAAAAGCCCGCUCGCCGGAAGACCAAGGGUUCCUGUCCAACGUUAAUCGGGGCAGGGUGAGUCGACCCCUAAGGCGAGGCCGAAAGGCGUAGUCGAUGGGAAACAGGUUAAUAUUCCUGUACUUGGUGUUACUGCGAAGGGGGGACGGAGAAGGCUAUGUUGGCCGGGCGACGGUUGUCCCGGUUUAAGCGUGUAGGCUGGUUUUCCAGGCAAAUCCGGAAAACCAAGGCUGAGGCGUGAUGACGAGGCACUACGGUGCUGAAGCGACAAAUGCCCUGCUUCCAGGAAAAGCCUCUAAGCAUCAGGUAACAUCAAAUCGUACCCAAAACCGACACAGGUGGUCAGGUAGAGAAUACCAAGGCGCUUGAGAGAACUCGGGUGAAGGAACUAGGCAAAAUGGUGCCGUAACUUCGGGAGAAGGCACGCUGAUAUGUAGGUGAAGCGACUUGCUCGUGGAGCUGAAAUCAGUCGAAGAUACCAGCUGGCUGCAACUGUUUAUUAAAAACACAGCACUGUGCAAACACGAAAGUGGACGUAUACGGUGUGACGCCUGCCCGGUGCCGGAAGGUUAAUUGAUGGGGUUAGCGGCAACGCGAAGCUCUUGAUCGAAGCCCCGGUAAACGGCGGCCGUAACUAUAACGGUCCUAAGGUAGCGAAAUUCCUUGUCGGGUAAGUUCCGACCUGCACGAAUGGCGUAAUGAUGGCCAGGCUGUCUCCACCCGAGACUCAGUGAAAUUGAACUCGCUGUGAAGAUGCAGUGUACCCGCGGCAAGACGGAAAGACCCCGUGAACCUUUACUAUAGCUUGACACUGAACAUUGAGCCUUGAUGUGUAGGAUAGGUGGGAGGCUUUGAAGUGUGGACGCCAGUCUGCAUGGAGCCGACCUUGAAAUACCACCCUUUAAUGUUUGAUGUUCUAACGUUGGCCCGUAAUCCGGGUUGCGGACAGUGUCUGGUGGGUAGUUUGACUGGGGCGGUCUCCUCCUAAAGAGUAACGGAGGAGCACGAAGGUUGGCUAAUCCUGGUCGGACAUCAGGAGGUUAGUGCAAUGGCAUAAGCCAGCUUGACUGCGAGCGUGACGGCGCGAGCAGGUGCGAAAGCAGGUCAUAGUGAUCCGGUGGUUCUGAAUGGAAGGGCCAUCGCUCAACGGAUAAAAGGUACUCCGGGGAUAACAGGCUGAUACCGCCCAAGAGUUCAUAUCGACGGCGGUGUUUGGCACCUCGAUGUCGGCUCAUCACAUCCUGGGGCUGAAGUAGGUCCCAAGGGUAUGGCUGUUCGCCAUUUAAAGUGGUACGCGAGCUGGGUUUAGAACGUCGUGAGACAGUUCGGUCCCUAUCUGCCGUGGGCGCUGGAGAACUGAGGGGGGCUGCUCCUAGUACGAGAGGACCGGAGUGGACGCAUCACUGGUGUUCGGGUUGUCAUGCCAAUGGCACUGCCCGGUAGCUAAAUGCGGAAGAGAUAAGUGCUGAAAGCAUCUAAGCACGAAACUUGCCCCGAGAUGAGUUCUCCCUGACUCCUUGAGAGUCCUGAAGGAACGUUGAAGACGACGACGUUGAUAGGCCGGGUGUGUAAGCGCAGCGAUGCGUUGAGCUAACCGGUACUAAUGAACCGUGAGGCUUAACCUUACAACGCCGAAG